rnacentral:lncRNA from 1 species
GAAAAGUCAAGUAAAGUUUGAGGUUCAUUAAGAAAAGAAAAGAAAAAUCACUUCUUUCAAUUUCUUUCUUUGGAAACUAGGCUUCUUUAAGCUAUUACCAAUAAUGGAGUUCCAGAUACCCUUAUUCCAGCUCCUCAUCAGCUUCCUCCUGUUUUUGUUUAUGGUAAUCACAAGUGUAAGGAAAUCAAAAGCUAAGAAUUUAACUCAAAAGUUGAUUCCAGGGCCUUGGAAAUUACCAUUGAUAGGAAAUCUGCACCAGCUCGCCGCUUCUGGUCUACCCCAUCGCACCUUACGUGACUUGGCUACGAAACAUGGUGACUUCAUGCAUCUGCAACUGGGUCAAGUUUCCACCGUGGUCGCUUCUUCUCC